GUGGUACAAUAUAUCAAAUAAAAAAAAACCUGACAGUGUGUGAAGUAAUCAUUUAAAUUGAUGUUUGUAAAAAUGAUAAAAGUCAUGAUUACUUUUACAAGUUUUGUUUUUUGUUAAAAAUAAAAUUUGGACAAAACUGUUAGAUAUGUUCUUAACAGUGAUAUUGUACAAUCUUUUGUACAAAUUUAUAUCUUCUUAUAUUUAUGAGUGUUACUGCAGCAAGACCAAUUAUAAAUUAAUUACCUUUUUUUUGUCAAAUGUAACUUUCAUGUUACAUUUAAUAAAUUUUUUAAAGUGGAUUUAUAAAAGAUGUUUAUUAUUGUCCUGAAAAUAAAUAUAUAGCAAACUAGUGGCAAUGAAUUGUAUUAGAUAUUUAAUGAUAAGGGGUAGAAAAUAAAGGGCAUUAGACACUUUUUUAAAGUAAUAAGUAUAAUGUUAUUGCUUGCAACACUUAGACAUUACUUACAUUACCACUACAAAAUGUUUUAUUGCUGAAGAUGAAGUCAACUGAGAAAAAAAAUGUUGUUGUUAACAGGCCUUUUAUUACUAGCAAUAAUUUUUAAUCUUUAAAAAUUAUCUCAAAGAUUGAUAAAAGAAAAUACACAGAAUAGUGAUAUUACAUAUUGUUUGUAUAUAU
rnacentral:lncRNA from 1 species